rnacentral:sRNA from 1 species
UAAUUAUGGUGGCAUCUGAUGUACUUG